rnacentral:tRNA from 1 species
GUUAGCUCAGUUGGUGGAGCAUGAGACUCUUAAUCUCAGAGUUGUGGGUUUGAGCUCCGCAUUGGGCA